rnacentral:rRNA from 1 species
AACGAACGCUGGCGGCAUGCCUAACACAUGCAAGUCGAACGAAGCCUUCGGGCUUAGUGGCGCACGGGUGCGUAACGCGUGGGAAUCUGCCCUCAGGUACGGAAUAACUCAGGGAAACUUGAGCUAAUACCGUAUAAUGACUUCGGUCCAAAGAUUUAUCGCCUGAGGAUGAGCCCGCGUCGGAUUAGCUAGUUGGUGAGGUAAAGGCUCACCAAGGCGACGAUCCGUAGUUGGUCUGAGAGGAUGAUCAGCCACACUGGGACUGAGACACGGCCCAGACUCCUACGGGAGGCGGCAGUGGGGAAUAUUGGACAAUGGGCGCAAGCCUGAUCCAGCAAUGCCGCGUGAGUGAUGAAGGCCUUAGGGUUGUAAAGCUCUUUUACCCGGGAAGAUAAUGACUGUACCGGGAGAAUAAGCCCCGGCUAACUCCGUGCCAGCCGCCGCAGUAA